CCGGGGAAGGGAAGAGUGGGCGAGCUCGCCCUCGCCCAGCCCGGCGCCCCAGCCCUGCCCGGCGAGGAAGGACCGGGAAGAUGAACAACGGCGUCAAAGCCGAGAAGGAGAACACCGCGAACGAGGCCAACCUUCAGGAAGAAGAGGUCCGGACCCUCUUUGUCAGUGGUCUCCCUCUGGACAUCAAACCUCGGGAGCUCUAUCUGCUUUUCAGACCAUUUAAGGGCUAUGAAGGUUCUCUUAUAAAGCUCACAUCUAAGCAGCCCGUAGGUUUUGUCAGUUUUGACAGUCGCUCAGAAGCAGAAGCUGCGAAGAAUGCUUUGAAUGGCAUCCGCUUCGAUCCUGAAAUUCCGCAAACACUGCGACUAGAGUUUGCUAAGGCAAACACGAAGAUGGCCAAGAACAAACUAGUAGGGACGCCAAACCCCAGUACUCCUCUGCCCAACACUGUACCUCAGUUCAUUGCCAGAGAGCCAUAUGAGCUCACAGUGCCUGCACUUUACCCCAGUAGCCCUGAGGUGUGGGCCCCGUACCCUCUGUACCCAGCGGAGUUAGCGCCUGCUCUACCUCCUCCUGCUUUCACCUAUCCCGCUUCACUGCAUGCCCAGAUGCGCUGGCUCCCUCCCUCCGAGGCCACGUCUCAGGGCUGGAAGUCCCGUCAGUUCUGCUGAAUACUACGUUCCAGGUGUGUGAUGGUGGCUGCAAUCUGUCUUGUGGGUAUUAAUGCAAUCUUCAAUGGUGGCUACUGUUCUCGAGCUGUUCUACAAAACUGGAGCAUGCUGGCUUGAAAACAACCGUGCCCAGUUUUGAUCCCUUCAAGACUUUGCCACAGCCUCUAUCACACAUCUAUUUUUCUCGGAGAAAAAAAUAUAAUAAAAAUGUUUUACUCUUUUACACUGUGUAAUUGUAAGAAAUAGUGUGUUA